CCUACGGGUGGCAGCAGUAGGGAAUUUUGCGCAAUGGGCGAAAGCCUGACGCAGCAACGCCGCGUGAUUGAUUAAGCCCUUCGGGAUGUAAAGCUCUGUCAGCAGGGACGAGACUUGACGUUACCCACAGAGGAACCACCGGCUAACUCCUUGCAGGCAGCGGCGGUAUUCCGGGGGGUGCAAGCUUUGUACGGAAUCAUUGGUCGUAAAGAGGGCGUAACGGGCGAGGUAAGUCUGAUGUUAAAUCCAGAAGCCCACCUGCGGUCCGGCAUUGGAUACUGUUAAGCUUGAUUGCGGGAGAGGUAAAGGGAAUUCCUGGUGUAGCGGUGAAAUGCGUAGAUAGUAGGAGGAACAUCAGUGGCGUAGGCGCUUUACUGGGCCGUAAGUGACACUGAGGAACGAAAGCCGGGGUAGCAAAUGGGAUUAGAUACCCGUGUAGUC
rnacentral:rRNA from 1 species